ACGGGAGGCAGCAGUGGGGAAUAUUGCACAAUGGGGGAAACCCUGAUGCAGCAACGCCGCGUGAAGGAAGACGGUCUUCGGAUUGUAAACUUCUGUUCUUAGUGAAGAUAAUGACGGUAGCUAAGGAGCAAGCCACGGCUAACUACGUGCCAGCAGCCGCGGUAAUACGUAGGUGGCAAGCGUUGUCCGGAUUUACUGGGUGUAAAGGGUGCGCAGGCGGGACUGCAAGUUGGAUGUGAAAUACCGGAGCUCAACUCCGGAACUGCAUCCAAAACUGUAGUUCUUGAGUGGAGUAGAGGUAAGCGGAAUUCCGAGUGUAGCGGUGAAAUGCGUAGAUAUUCGGAGGAACACCAGUGGCGAAGGCGGCUUACUGGGCUCUAACUGACGCUGAGGCACGAAAGUGUGGGUAGCAAACAGGAUUAGAUACCCUGGUA
rnacentral:rRNA from 1 species